UACGGAGGGAGCUAGCGUUGUCCGGAAUUAUUGGGCGUAAAGGGCGCGUAGGCGGCUUUGCAAGUGACGGGUGAAAUCCCUCGGCUUAACCGAGGAACUGCCUGUCAAACUGCAUGGCUUGAGACCGGGAGAGGUGAGUGGAAUUCCCAGUGUAGCGGUGAAAUGCGUAGAUAUUGGGAGGAACACCAGUGGCGAAGGCGGCUCACUGGACCGGUACUGACGCUGAUGCGCGAAAGCGUGGGGAGCAAACAGG
rnacentral:rRNA from 1 species